AAAUUGAAGAGUUUGAUCAUGGCUCAGAUUGAACGCUGGCGGCAGGCCUAACACAUGCAAGUCGAACGGUAACAGGAAGCAGCUUGCUGCUUUGCUGACGAGUGGCGGACGGGUGAGUAAUGUCUGGGAAACUGCCUGAUGGAGGGGGAUAACUACUGGAAACGGUAGCUAAUACCGCAUAACGUCGCAAGACCAAAGAGGGGGACCUUAGGGCCUC
rnacentral:rRNA from 1 species